rnacentral:lncRNA from 1 species
CUACAUGAGAAUGAAGAAAUCUUACAGACAUGAUAGCUACAUGAGAAUGAAGAAAUCUUACAGACAUGAUAGCUACAUGAGAAUGCAGAAAUUCAUAUUCGUAUAUGCAUGUUGUCUAUAUUUGAAAAAUACUGAAAUUAGAUAUUCCUAUGUGCAAGUUAUCUACCCCUUUUUACAUGCAUGGUUACCCCUCCCUUUUCACUAGUCAUCCCCAAAAGUUUUAUUACAAAAUUAUUACAGUCCAAAGAAAAUAAAGCAAAGAAAAUACAUCAGAAAUUGAAAAUUACAACCAAGGAGAGCCUGAUUCAGACUUCUUGUCUGAAGUAUGAAGUAAACCAACUCCAAAGAUCACAUUUCAAAGCCUUUCUCCUAUUUGGGUGUGUCAGAGUUCCGUAAGAGUCUCAUAAGAUCUCCGAGCGGUGCUUACACCCAAAUGUAUCACCAUAUUAAGCCAUAGUACAGGGUAGAGGGGCCAACCUUCAGGUGCCCAAGUUUCGAGAGAACUCAAGGUCCCAAGGCAAGGCUCAUAAGGGGGUAGAACUUAGGAACUAAGAGAGAGUGCAAGUGCAGAUUUCUGAAAGGGGGAAAGGAGAAAGGAAGCAGUUCACGUUAAUACACAUAGGGAUAUAGGGAAUGGGGAGUUGCAAGAGGCAAAGAGUAAACUAGUGGUCGUAACCAACAAUGGAGGAUUCUGGCACACCCAUAGGUCUGUUUAGAAAACAUUGUUUAAAGGUUAGAAUCCUUUAAGGGAUCAAUUUCAAUCCAUAGACAAUAACUUACAUAUUUCCAUAUUUUGAACUGUAACUGAAACACAAAAGGGGGUGGGAGUAAGGAUUCAUAGCAGAAACAAACAGAAAGAAAUCAACAUGCUAGUUUAAAUAGUUAAUUAUGCAGAAGUAGUAAAGUAGACAUGGAUACAAAAAGUUACAAGUAAACACAUUAUGGUAAUGAUG